rnacentral:rRNA from 1 species
GCAGUCGUACGAGAGUUUUUAACUCAAGUGGCGGACGGGUGAGUAACACGUAAGAAUUUGCCUUUAGGAGGGGGACAACAACUGGAAACGGUUGCUAAUACCCCAUAUGCUUUCGAGUGAAAUGGAUUUUUCCGCCUAAAGAGAAGCUUGCGGCUGAUUAGCUUGUUGGUAAGGUAAUGGCUUACCAAGGCGACGAUCAGUAUCUGGUUUGAGAGGACGAUCAGACACACUGGAACUGAGACACGGUCCAGACUCCUACGGGAGGCAGCAGUGGGGAAUUUUCCGCAAUGGGCGAAAGCCUGACGGAGCAAUACCGCGUGAGGGAUGACUGCCUAUGGGUUGUAAACCUCUUUUUUCAGGGAGGAAUAAAUGACGUGUACCUGAAGAAUAAGCAUCGGCUAACUCCGUGCCAGCAGCCGCGGUAAGACGGAGGAUGCAAGUGUUAUCCGGAAUCACUGGGCGUAAAGCGUCUGUAGGUGGUCUAGUAAGUCAACUGUUAAAUCUCGAGGCUCAACUUCGAAACCGCAGUCGAAACUAUUAGACUAGAGUAUAGUAGGGGUAAAGGGAAUUUCCAGUGGAGCGGUGAAAUGCGUAGAGAUUGGAAAGAACACCGAUGGCGAAGGCACUUUACUGGGCUAUUACUAACACUCAGAGACGAAAGCUAGGGUAGCAAAUGGGAUUAGAUACCCCAGUAGUCCUAGCUGUAAACAAUGGAUACUAGAUGUUGAACAGAUCGACCUGUGCAGUAUCAAAGCUAAAGCGUUAAGUAUCCCGCCUGGGAAGUAUGCUCGCAAGAGUGAAACUCAAAGGAAUUGA